rnacentral:rRNA from 1 species
UACGAAGGGGGCUAGCGUUGUUCGGAAUUACUGGCGUAAAGCGCGCGCAGGCGGUCCUUCAAGUCAGAGGUGAAAGCCCAGAGCUCAACUCUGGAAUGGCCUUUGAGACUAGAGGACUUGGGUACGGGAGAGGUGAGUGGAAUUCCGAGUGUAGAGGUGAAAUUCGUAGAUAUUCGGAAGAACACCAGUGGCGAAGGCGGCUCACUGGCCCGUUACCGACGCUCAGGCGCGACAGCGUGGGGAGCAAACAGG